CAUAUCAAUAAGCGGAGGAAAAGAACCCAACAGGGAUUGCCCUAGUAACGGCGAGUGAAGCGGCAACAGCUCAAAUUUGAAAUCUGGCUUUCGGGCCCGAGUUGUAAUUUGUAGAGGAUACUUUUGAUGCGGUGCCUUCCGAGUUCCCUGGAACGGGACGCCAUAGAGGGUGAGAGCCCCGUCUGGUUGGAUGCCAAAUCUCUGUAAAGUUCCUUCGACGAGUCGAGUAGUUUGGGAAUGCUGCUCUAAAUGGGAGGUAUAUGUCUUCUAAAGCUAAAUAUUGGCCAGAGACCGAUAGCGCACAAGUAGAGUGAUCGAAAGAUGAAAAGCACUUUGAAAAGAGAGUUAAAAAGUACGUGAAAUUGUUGAAAGGGAAGCGUUUAUGACCAGACUUGGACUUGGUUAAUCAUCUGGGGUUCUCCCCAGUGCACUUUUCCAGUUCAGGCCAGCAUCAGUUUUCGCCGGGGGAUAAAGGCUUCGGGAAUGUAGCUCUCUUCGGGGAGUGUUAUAGCCCGUUGUGUAAUACCCUGGUGGAGACUGAGGUUCGCGCUUCUGCAAGGAUGCUGGCGUAAUGGUCAUCAACGACCCGUCUUGAAACACGGACCAAGGGAGUCGUCUUCGUAUGCGAGUGUUCGGGUUGUCAAACCCCUACGCGUAAUGAAAGUGAACGCAGGUGAGAGCUUCGGCGCAUCAUCGACCGAUCCUGAUGUUCUCGGAUGGAUUUGAGUAAGAGCAUACAGGGGCCGGACCCGAAAGAAGGUGAACUAUGCCUGUAUAGGGUGAAGCCAGAGGAAACUCUGGUGGAGGCUCGCAGCGGUUCUGACGUGCAAAUCGAUCGUCAAAUAUGGGCAUGGGGGCGAAAGACUAAUCGAACCUUCUAGUAGCUGGUUUCCGCCGAAGUUUCCCUCAGGAUAGCAGUGUUGAACUCAGUUUUAUGAGGUAAAGCGAAUGAUUAGGGACUCGGGGGCGCUAUAUUGCCUUCAUCCAUUCUCAAACUUUAAAUAUGUAAGAAGCCCUUGUUGCUUAAUUGAACGUGGGCAUUCGAAUGUAUCAACACUAGUGGGCCAUUUUUGGUAAGCAGAACUGGCGAUGCGGGAUGAACCGAACGCGAGGUUAAGGUGCCAGAGUAGACGCUCAUCAGACACCACAAAAGGUGUUAGUACAUCUUGACAGCAGGACGGUGGCCAUGGAAGUCGGAAUCCGCUAAGGACUGUGUAACAACUCACCUGCCGAAUGUACUAGCCCUGAAAAUGGAUGGCGCUCAAGCGUCUCACCCAUACCUCGCCCUCAGGGUAGAAACGAUGCCCUGAGGAGUAGGCGGACGUGGAGGUCAGUGACGAAGCCUAGGGCGUUAGCCCGGGUUGAACGGCCUCU
rnacentral:rRNA from 1 species